GUCAGAGUGGUGUUUUGGUUGAGCAUUGGACUAAGACUCCAGAGGACCAGGGUUCAAAUCCCUGCUCAGCCA